rnacentral:lncRNA from 1 species
CGUAGUUUUUAAAGUUUGGUUGCAUCUCAUCCUAAAACCCUAUGUCCUUUAUGAAGGGGUAUCUUAUCUUCGCCGCACUAAAGUUAAUUGACUUCAAAUCUUUGUCAUUGUUCAUUAAACCUAAGCAACAAAUCAAGUUGCUAUCAAGUUGUAUAUUUAAUGGAAUCAAUACAUUGUCUUUUAGUUGUUGGGUAGGGUGCACCACAAGAUUGUGAUCUAUUACGCUGAGCACCACAUGAUCUUCGUGCAUGAUUCAACUGAGUCAGAACCACCAAGCUAUCUACGAGGUGACAACCUCCAAUAGUUACAAGCACCACGAACUUGCAAAAAUGAUCUCU